GUGUCAGCAGCCGCGGUAAUACGGAGGAUGCAAGCGUUAUCCGGAAUGAUUGGGCGUAAAGCGUCUGCAGGUGGCUUUACAAGUCUGCUGUCAAAGACUGAGGCUUAACCUCGGAAAGGCAGUGGAAACUGAAAAGCUAGAGUGCGGUAGGGGUAGAGGGAAUUCCCGGUGUAGCGGUGAAAUGCGUAGAGAUCGGGAAGAACACCAGUGGCGAAAGCGCUCUGCUAGACCGCAACUGACACUCAUGGACGAAAGCUAGGGGAGCGAAUGGGAUUAGAUACCCCCGUAGUCC
rnacentral:rRNA from 1 species